rnacentral:lncRNA from 1 species
AGGAUUCAAAAAUAUGCCGCUGACUUGAAAGACAUGGAAAGAUGAUAUGUCCCAGCCUGCCCUACAGUUAAGUGAGGCUAUGGAUUGAAAUCUGGCGAAUGUGAGUGGAAGUGAGCUGCAUCACUUUCAGACAGUGGCCAUUAGAGCUGGGGAGCCUUCUUCAUGCCCUCGCCCACCCCUUCAUUCCUUCCACUCUCUUCCUUGCAUCUGGAAGUGAAAAAGUAAGAUGACAAAGCCUCAGAAUAGCAGGAUCUUAGAUCCCUGAAUCACCACUUGGGGGAGAGCUUCCCAGGAAACCUGCCCAACCCCAUCAAACUUUGCAUGAGAAAGAAAUACGUUUUUAUUGGAUUAAGCCACUAACAUUUCAGGUUUGAUUCAUUUCUUACCAUAGCCCAUUCUUUUUUUUUUUUUUGAGACGGGGUCUUGCUCUGUCACCCAGGCUGGUGUGCAAUAGUGCGAUCUCGGCUCACUGCAACCUCCACCUCCCAGG